AAUUGGGGCGUUGAGCUCUGGGAGCAAGGGCCCCAAGAGUCUGAAAUCCUGGAAUUUCCUUCCUAGGGCAUCCACAAGGGGAGAGAAAGAGGGUGAUCCCCAACUGAUUGGUUUACAACUGACAGUGAUAUUGUUGCCAGGAGAGCUGCUAUGGGUUUCUCAGCCUGGAGACUGUUGGGCCAGGGCCAGUUCCUGGCAAAAGAGAGUUCCUGCUGCUGAGUGUCCUUUGAGGAAAUUCUGGUGAUUCUGGCAUCAGUGUUCAAGUUUAUGGCAGUAGGUAGUCCAGGAGGCACAAGAGCAGGUCUCCCUUCAAGGUCAGGGCCAGAGGAGAAGACACAGGAGGACUUACUGCAUGAGACAUCUACUUGGAAAGAGCAAAUCAUGAUCUGGGGGAGCAGAUGACCAGGGGAGGGGCUCAGGUCUUGUUCUUAGAGUCUCCUCCUUCCAUGUCAUUCCAUUCUAUGUUGAAGGCUACCCCCUUUACCCUUACCAUAUAACAAGAGCUGGAAACCCAACAAGAUCCUGGCCUUUGGCCAAGGACAUGAGGGCCUAAGGACCUUGCUUGGAAAGUGAAUUUCUCAGAACUCUGGGAACUUGCCAGUCUUGGGAGGAAGGUGGGGUGAUGCUGAAGGGUGGGUAGACAGGACCACUGAGCAAGGCAGGCCAGGCAUCUGGAGGAGGCUGAUGUGGUUCUGUGAAGCACACAGGGGCCAAAGUGUGUGCCUGGGAAAGUCACCUCAGUGUGGGACUCCAGAGCCCCCCUCCAUCCCUAGUGGCUGAUAGGCGGUGAGAAGAACCCUGACCUGAUCCCCAGAGGUGGCAGUAAAGAGAGAAAGUGCCUACCACCCAGGCAAGAGGCCAAGUCCUGGUGUUCAAGCGCCAGGGGAUGUUGAGAUGACCAUGAGCGUUUCUUCAUUGAGAGAAAGUCUCUAGCCUGAUAUGGACCAUAAGCCCUAGCAUCCACAAAAGAGACAGAGCUUAGGGCCCAAAAAGGCAGAGGAAGCUUGCAGGAAAAUGUGUGUGGAUGAACCCAGGGACAACACUUGGAAAUGGGCCUGAGAUUUGGCUGAGGCUGAGGCUGGUUGCUCUGUUGAUUAUGGUAGUCAAGGACGACAGAGGGUUGAGGGGCAGGAGGUGCUUCUGAGGAGACAAGGAAGAACGAGGAGGGGGUAUUCAUCAGCCUGAGGGACAUUUCUUUUGUGGCUCGGUCGGGGUGACCAGGGAUGCUCACCGGGCAGUGAGGAUGGAGCCCAGCGAUGGAGCCUGGCCUCCACAACGGUGCUGAAAACCUGCCAGCCCUGGGGAGGAGAGAGGCUUGAUACACUUUGUCUACACCUCCAGCUGCAGACAAGAUGGCAGGGCGCCUGCCUUUCCCAAGGAGAGUCAGUUGAGAAGCACAGGAGCCAUUGCCCCUAGGGCAGCCCCUGGUUCCUACCUGCCUGGGCCUUCGACAGGCUCUCAGAGCCUCUGAGAUGGGCAAACUGGCAUAAGAGAACUCAGCAGAAAUGGAGGGAAAAGUGAGAGGUCCAGAGUCUGGGAAAAAUGUCAUUGGAGAGUAGCUAGCAUGGAGAUCCUACAGUUUCCCUCCCUCUACUGUUCAGAGAGGCCCACCUGUUCUCCUAUCAACAGUGAAGGAUAUACUAGCAUCGUAUAGAGCCUGAGGUCUGUGCUGAGAGCCUGAUGGUUGGAGCCACUUCCCUGCCUGUCUCUUCCAAUUGAUGGGAUAGUGUCUAUAAAAAUGUCUUGAAAGUAUGAAAAGUGGCAAAUUGGCCUUCACAAUAAACAGAACUUAAUGUAACAUAUUUCAAAAUUUUAAAUCUCAAUGAACAAAAGCUAUCUCUAAUGCUUUCUUUUUCAGGGCAAAUUUCUUGGCAUUUACACACCUUAAAUGUUUUACUAUGAUCCUGGGGGGGGCGGUUGUUAUCAUAAUAAAGAAGCUUUCAUUUAUAUAAA